rnacentral:rRNA from 1 species
AGAGUUUGAUCAUGGCUCAGAUUGAACGCUGGCGGAAUGCUUUACACAUGCAAGUCGAACGGCAGCACGGACUUCGGUCUGGUGGCGAGUGGCGAACGGGUGAGUAAUAUAUCGGAACGUAUCCAAUAAUGGGGGAUAACUAAUCGAAAGGUUGGCUAAUACCGCAUACGCCCUACGGGGGAAAGCUAGGGACCUUCGGGCCUGGCGUUAAUGGAGCGGCUGAUAUCUGAUUAGCUAGUUGGUGAGGUAAAGGCUCACCAAGGCGACGAUCAGUAGCUGGUCUGAGAGGACGACCAGCCACACUGGAACUGAGACACGGUCCAGACUCCUACGGGAGGCUGCAGUGGGGAAUUUUGGACAAUGGGCGCAAGCCUGAUCCAGCCAUUCCGCGUGAGUGAAGAAGGCCUUCGGGUUGUAAAGCUCUUUCGCAAGGGAAGAAAAAUUACGCUCUAACAUAGCGUGAUGAUGACGGUACCUUGAUAAGAAGCACCGGCUAACUACGUG